rnacentral:rRNA from 1 species
GACGAACGCUGGCGGCGUGCUUAACACAUGCAAGUCGAACGGAAAGGCCCAGCUUGCUGGGUACUCGAGUGGCGAACGGGUGAGUAACACGUGGGUGAUCUGCCCUGCACUCUGGGAUAAGCCUGGGAAACUGGGUCUAAUACCGGAUAUGACCAACUGUCGCAUGGUGGUUGGUGGAAAGCUUUUGCGGUGUGGGAUGGGCCCGCGGCCUAUCAGCUUGUUGGUGGGGUAAUGGCCUACCAAGGCGACGACGGGUAGCCGACCUGAGAGGGGGAUCGGCCACACUGGGACUGAGACACGGCCCAGACUCCUACGGGAGGCAGCAGUGGGGAAUAUUGCACAAUGGGCGCAAGCCUGAUGCAGCGACGCCGCGUGAGGGAUGACGGCCUUCGGGUUGUAAACCUCUUUCACCAGGGACGAAGCGUGAGUGACGGUACCUGGAGAAAAAGCACCGGCCAACUACGUGCCAGCCGCCGCGGUAACAC